rnacentral:rRNA from 1 species
GCUUGUCUCAAAGAUUAAGCCAUGCAUGUCUUAGUGUAAAUAACUCUUAUGAAACUGCGAAUGGCUCAUUAAAUCAGUUAUCGUUUAUUUGAUGGUCCCUUACUACAUGGAUAACCGUAGUAAUUCUAGAGCUAAUACAUGCGUCAAAGCCCGACUUUUUGGGAGGGUUGCAUUUAUUAGAUACAAAACCAACCCAGAGCUUGCUCUGGAGAUAUUGGUGAUUCAUAAUAACUAAGCGAAUCGCACAGGCUUGCCUGGCGAUGGAUCUUUCAAGUUUCUGACCUAUCAGCUAUCGACGGUAGGGUAUUGGCCUACCGUGGCUAUGACGGGUAACGGAGAAUUAGGGUUCGAUUCCGGAGAGGGAGCCUGAGAAACGGCUACCACAUCUAAGGAAGGCAGCAGG